AUGGGUGAAAAAACGCCUCAAACCUUCCAGCAAAAGGAAUGCGUUUCGCUGCUCUGCCCCAGCAAUUCAUCAGUGAUCCCCGGAACGAUGGGGAAGUCUCCGCAUGUGCUUUGUGCCGGGAACGACGGGGAGGGGAAGAGCAGGAGCGAGGGAGGGAUCGGAGCACGAAGGGACCCCGCGGGGCGGCGGGAGAAGAGGCUCAGGGUGGCUCGCUGGCCAUCCCCAGAGCACGGGGAGCGGGAGGGCAACACGGCUCAUCCCUCAGGAGCCCGUGUAACCGCGACCCCAGGGGAGAGCCGCGGCCCCGUGAGCCAGGGCAGCCCCCGCACAAGGGAGUCACUCCCUCGGCCUCUCCUCGGGGAACGGCCCAGCGCGGCGCACGGGGACAGGACCAAGCUGCCGCGGCGCCCCGCCCGCCUCAGGUCGGCGGGGACGCGGCAAUACCAGGAUACGGAGACACCGGGACACGGGAACAGCGGGCCCCCUCACCUGAGCGCGGCGGAGCCCCCGCUACCAACACGCGGCGAGAACAAGAUGGCGACCGAAGAAGGAAAGAGGGGCGCACAGAGAAAGGAAGCGUCGCACCACGUGAGGGCACCGACCCGCCCGCGGAUUGGCGGAUCCGCCCACUCGUAUUUACAUACGGGCAGGGCUGGGCACGCAAGGCGUCCUGGGAUUUGUAGUCUCCAGGGAGCAGCAGUCACCGGUGCCCCGGGGCAGGGAGUGAUGCCCGGUGACCCAAACCCGGGACGCGGCGCUUCCAAACUCGUCACCACUCGCUCUGUCCCCCUCAGCAAAACCUCCCUCACACACUGUGCUUCUGGUCGGUUUUGCCUUUCCGACAGCAGGGCAACUACGGAGAGCAGCGCGACAAAGGGUUUAUUUGGGAAGGAGAAAAUAAAUCAGGAACCACCCCCCUCCACCGCUGCCUGCUCCCGUCGGGAUAACGCUGGGGUUUGCCCAGAGGGAGUGACCAAGGCUCUGGGGCCCCGAUGCGAUGACCCCUGCCCUGGGGCUCCCGGCUCCCUGUACGGAGCCAAACUCGUCCUGAGCCCCCCCCGCACCCUUCCCGCCAGGUGCCUCCACGGGCCGAGCCGUGAGGGCGGCGCACCGCCCACAUCCGCCACACAUCACUUCCUGGGCUUUAAAAAACGUGGAAAAAAAAAAAAAAGAGGAAAAAAAGAAAAAUCCAGUUAA
rnacentral:lncRNA from 1 species